rnacentral:rRNA from 1 species
UACGGGGGGGCAAGCGUUGUUCGGGAUUACUGGGCGUAAAGGGCUCGUAGGCGGCCAACUAAGUCCGACGUGAAAUCCCCAGGCUUAACCUGGGAACUGCGUCGGAUACUGGAUGGCUUGAAUCCGGGAGAGGGAUGCGGAAUUCCAGGUGUAGCGGUGAAAUGCGUAGAUAUCUGGAGGAACACCGGUGGCGAAGGCGGCAUCCUGGACCGGCAUUGACGCUGAUGAGCGAAAGCCAGGGGAGCAAACGGG